ensembl:lncRNA
UUUUUUUUUUUUUUUUUUUUGAGAUGGAGUUUCGCUCUUGUCUCUCAGGCUGGAGUGUAAUGGUGCGAUCUUGGCUCUCUGCAACCUCCACCUCCUGGGUUCAAGCAAUUCUCCUGCCUCAGCCUCCCGAGUAGCUGGGACUACAUGCAUUCACCACCACGCCCAGCUAAUUUUGUAUUUUUAGUAGAGACGGAGUUUCUCCAUGUUGGUCAGGCUGGUCUCGAACUCCUGACCUGAGGUGAUCCACCGCCUCGGCCUCCCAAAGUGCUGGGAUUACAGGCGUGAGCCACCGUGCCUGGCCCAAAUGUGGACAUUUCUUAAAGGUCAUUCUCUGUUCCUCAUUUGUUUUUCAAAAACUUGUAAUAAAAUAUACAUAGUAAAAUGUCCCAUCUUAACCCUGUUCAAAUGUACGCUUCAUUCAUGUUAAGCACAUUCACAUUGUUGUGCAACCAAUCUCCAGAACUUUUCCUCUUACAAAACUGAAGUUCUUAUACCCAAAAAACAAAUCCCUAUUUGCCCCUCUUCCAGGUCCUGACAAUCACUGUUCUACUUUCUGUCUCUACGAAUUUGACUACUCUAGCAAUCUCAUGUAAGUGGAAUCAUAUAGUAUUUGUCUUUUGACUGGCUUUUUCAUUGAGUAUAAUGUGAUGGUUAAUUUUAUGUGUCAACUUGGCUGAGCCAUCAUACCCAUACAUUUGGCCAACUUUAUUCUGGGUGUUUCUGUGGAGGUGUUUUUUUUGGAUGAGAUUAACAUUUAAAUCAAUGAACUCUAAGUAAACCAGAUUAGCCUCUGUAAUGUGGGUGGACCUCAUCCAAUUAGGUGAAGACCUUACUGGAGUAAAGACCGACCUCCCCUGAACAAGGAAUUGUGCCAGCAGACUGCCUUUGGACUUGAACUAUAACUCUUCCCUAGGUCUCCAGCCUGCCAGCCAAUACAAUCAGAUUUUCAUUCACCAAUCCUCCACAACUGCAAGAGCUAAUUCCUUAAACCUCUUUUUAUCUCUGGGUAGACACACACACACACACACACACACACACACCCCCCACACACACACCCUGCUGGUUCUGUUUCUCUGGAGAACCCCAAUACAAAUAAUAGCCUCGGGGCUCAUCCAUGUGGUAGCCUGUGUCAGAACUUCCUUCCGAGACUUAGUCAUAUUCUGCUGUAUGUAUACACCAGUUUAUCCAUCCAUCUGUCGGUAGACACUUGGGUUGCUUCUACCUUUUGGCUGUUGCGAAUAAUGCUGCUAUAAACACAGGUGUACAAAAGUCUCUUCAAGACACUGCUUUUACUUCUGUUGGUUAUAUACCCAGAGGUGAAAUUGCUGGAUCAUAUGGUAAUUCUAUUUUUACAUACCCACCAGCCAUGUACAAAAGUUCUAAUUUACAUUUUACAUUCCCACCAGCCAUGUACAAAAGUUCUAAUUUCUCUAUAUCAUUGCCAUCAUUUAUUUUUUGUUUUGUUCCUUUUGGGGUUUUUGAGGUUCUUUCUUUCUUUUUUUUUUUUUUGAGACAGGGUCUUGCUGGGUCACUCAGACUGCAGUGCAAUGCUGCAAUUAUGACUUACUACAGCCUUGAACUCCUGGGCUCACACAAUCCUCCUACCUCAGCCUCCUGGGUAGCUGGGACUACAGGUGUGUGUCACCAUUCCCCCGUAAUAUUUCUUAAAAUUUUUUGCAGAGGUCUGGUCUCACUAUGUUACCCAGGAUGGUCUUGAACACCUGCCCUCAAGUGAUCCUCUCACUUCAGCUUCCCAAAGUGCUGCAAGUAUAAGCCACUGUGCCUGGCUCUGUGUAUCUGUGUGCGUGUGUGUGUAUGUGUGUGUGUGUGUGUGUAAUAGUAGCUAUCCUAACGGGUUGCAGUGGUACCUCAUUGUGGCUUUGAGUUGCAUUUUCCCAGUGACUGGGAUGUCGAGCAUCUUUUCACGUGCCUGUGGGCCAUUUGCACAUCAUUUUUGGAGAAAUAUCUAUUUAAGUAUUUUGCCCAUUUUUUAAUCAGAUUGUUUUCAUGUUGCUGAGAUAUAGAAGUUCUUUAUGUAUUCUGGUUAUUAACCCCUUAUCAGAUAGAUGAUUUACAAAUACUUGCUCCCAUUCUGUAGGUUGCCUUUUCACUCUGUUGAUCUUGUCCUUCAAUGCACAGAAGUUCUAGCUUUUGUUGUUGUCCAGUUCAUCUAUUUGUAUGUUAUUUUACAAAUCCCUCAACUCAUCAUCAAUAUUUUUAUUUUUGCUGCCUGUGCUUUUGGUGUCAUAGCCAAGGAAUCAUUGCCAAAUGCAACGUCAUAAAGUUUUUCCCCUCUGUUUUAUUCCACCAGUUUUUUAGUUUUAUAGCUUGCUUUUAACUUUAAUGUUUAACUUUAACUUCAUUUUAACUUUAGAAAAUCCAUUUUAAGUUAAUUUGGAUAUAUUGUAUAAGACAAGGAUCCUACUUCAUUCUUUUAUAUGUGGAUACCUCUUUCCUUUCGGAAACUUCCUUUCAGCAAUCUUACUACCUCCAUAGCUUCAGUUUAGAUGUUUUUGUUGUUUCCCAGGGGUGAUCAAAUCCAUAUAUCCAGAUUUUGCCACCUUCCUGAGUUCUACUCCCCCAUUUUAAACACUACUGAAAAUUUAGUUUGACUAAGUACAUCAAGCUAUUAUGUGAAGAAAUAAUAUGUCCCAACCCCACUAUGGUGUGGCUUAAUGAGCUAAAGUAACAUAUCAAGAUAGACAUAAUAAUCCAAGAAACUAGGGUUCAGAGAAGCAAAUAUUAUUAGGGUCCAUCUUGCACUGUUCCAGAGUGAGGCAUGCAGGGCCUUGGGGACAGAACAAUAUGAUCUCUAAUGAUGUUUUCUCUUAUAGCACAGGCACAUUUCAUGAGCCUUUCCCACUACCGAGGUGUUACAGUUUGGAUAUGGUUUGUUUGGCUCCACUAAGUCUCAUGUUGAAAUCUGAUUUCCGGUGUUGGAGGUGGCAUCCGGUGGGCGAUGUCUGGACCAUGGGGGUACAUCUCUCAUGAAAGGCUUGCUGCCAUCAUGGCAGGAGUGACUGAGUUCUCACUCUCAGCUCCCGAGAGAAUUGCUUGUUGAAAACAAACUUGUACGUUCUACAUGCUCUCCUUCUAGAAGAGGAUCUAAGGAAAUUUAUAAUAAAAGCACAGGAAUGCUGAAACCAAACCCAAUUCAUAUCGGUAAUAGCUACCAUUUGUUAAGCUUCCACAAUGAUAUGUUAGAUGUUAAGCCUUUUAUGUUACCAGGACUAUCUCAUUUAUCUCGUAAGAAUUCUAGAACGUAAGUUCUAUUAUUAUCUUUAUUUCAUUCGUGAGAAAAGCAGAGACUCAGAAGGCUUAAGUCAUAUGCCAAGGUCAUCCAGCUAGUUAAAUGGUGGAGUAGGGAAUCUGGAUCCAGGCAGUCAGACUUUAUUAGAACAUGUACUUAAAAUUAGCAAGAAGGAGUGAGAACAACAACAACAACAAAAUUUAAAAAUGCUGGCCGAAGAAAACUAAAACAAUGUACAAUAUUUAGCCGUGAGAUCACUAGCAGUGAAGGCAAAGAAGAAUGCAUAAUGGGUUUCUAUAGCUCUCACUGUGCGGUUAUAGAAAAUAUUUCUACAUUAGUACAAGAACUUUUCUUCCUAGCCCUGAGUUUUAAGAGGAGUUUAUGAAGGUCUCUGAGUUCAUUCCAUCAAUGGCAUCAUCUAAGGCUGUUUAAUAAUAAAUGCCGAGGUAGUCCACAUAAGGAACUUUUGCCUUUACCUUUGAGACAAAGCCCAGGGCCUCAUGUUAGGAGUACAGCUCUCUAAACAUAAGCCUCCAGGGCAGAGGUGAGGGGAGGAUGGAGGGACACAAUCCAGAUUUACAGCCUGGUGGGAACGGCCUUUGUCCUCUCCAUGUCUAUUGCCACUCUUGAGGUCCAAGCCCCUACUGCACUGUCUGGUUUACUGCACAACCCAACCUGGCUGCUUGCUUCUGGUCUCCCCGCCAAACCAUCCUUCACACUGCUUCCAGCUUAGUAUUUCCAAGACGUUGCAUUUGCAAAUCCACUCCUCUGUUUAAAAAUGUUUCAGUGACUUGCAACUUGUCUACAGUGUGAAGUCUAAAUUUAUUAGCUUGUUGUUUAAAGCCUUCUACAACCAGACCCCGAGCGACCUUCACGUCCUAUCACUUUCUAUUCCUCCAAUGGCGCUUCUUAAACUGGACGAUUCCUACCCUAGGAGUGUGGCUGUGUGGGAUGGUGUUUGAAGCAAUAGGGUAAAAAACCUAGUGUACCUUCUAUUCUAGAGAUGUCAAUUUACCAGACAACAGUUAUUUUAAAACUCUGUUUUUAUGCAAAACCAAACACAGAUGUUAUAGGGUAGAAUGCAACAUUUUUAUGGGCCUGUGAGCCACCUGUACAUCUUCUUUGGAGAAAAGUCUACUUAAGUACUCUGGCCAUGAAUUCUAAACUUAAAACUAAGACUUCAAAGACCCUCUAAGGAGUCUGCUGGCCACAUCCCAAGACCCUGAAGGGUAUUACUUCCUCGCCCUCUCCAAACUGCCCAAUAAGGAAGCAGGUGACAAAAAAAAAAACUGACCCUGGAAUCACCUUUUGUAAAUUCCCACCUCCAAGCUUUUCGACAGCUUGUUAACACUGGCUCCUCUCCCCAGAAGCCUUUCCUUCCAGUCCCAGCAACUC